ensembl:snoRNA
ACUGCCUCUAGAGGCUUUGGAGGUGUGGCUGCUGUGUCACAUGUGGGUCAGUAGGCGACAGAGAGGAGAGAGGCUAUGCCUACUCUCAGUGUUUUGACCUGUGGACAUCUGAAUGAUUAGUAGCCUAACAUU